CCUGCCCUGUGACUAUAUGUUUAACGGCCGCGGUAUUUUGACCGUGCGAAGGUAGCGCAAUCACUUGUCUUUUAAAUAGGGACCUGUAUGAAUGGCAUAACGAGGGCUUAGCUGUCUCCUUUUUCAAGUCAAUGAAAUUGAUCUCCCCGUGCAGAAGCGGGGAUAAACCCAUAAGACGAGAAGACCCUGUGGAGCUUUAGACACCAAGGCAGAUCAUGUUAAGCACUCCUAGCCAAAGGACUAAACUAAAUGAGCCCUGCCCCCAUGUCUUCGGUUGGGGCGACCAUGGGGUAAAAUAAAACCCCCACGCGGAUAAGGGAGCACUUUCCUCCUACAACCUAGAGCUUCCGCUCUAACAAACAGAAUUUCUGACCUAAAGAUCCGGCAAUAGCCGAUCAACGGACCAAGUUACCCCAGGGAUAACAGCGCAAUCCUCUUUUAGAGCCCAUAUCGACAAGAGGGUUUACGACCUCGAUGUUGGAUCAGGACAUCCUAAUGGUGCAGCCGCUAUUAAGGGUUCGUUUGUUCAACGAUUAAAGUCCUACGUGAUCU
rnacentral:rRNA from 1 species